CAUUUGGUGACCGUGAGGUCGUUGCGGCUCUUCCAGAGGUCAUGCUGGUGACAAAGGAGGUGUGCUUGUUAAACCCAUGGCAGUUGGAGGCGAUGGAGCAGCAGGUUGGCGUGCCGCUUGUGAAAGUGCGAAUUGGAGGUGUACGUCGGAAUCGCCCGGCCGACAUGCUUUCCUCGAUGAUGUUGCUUGUCGUUGGUUAGCUCAAAUGCUGGCCUAGAGCAUCUUCAACAGAUGGAGCAAUUAUUUAUUCAGUUUUACCGUUUGAUGUUUGUUUUCUAGAGACAUGAGCUAGAUUAUUGAUGUCGUGGACCUGGUGCGUUGUCUUUAUUUUAGGUUUAUAAGUUACAUGUAGAUAUGUUUUUUCUAUGUACUUUGGCAAGCCAGAUUUGCUCCUGUCAAGUUGUCGUGGUCCAUGAGUUGUAUUGAUACAGAAUUUUAAAUCCAAAUACAAGUUUUUGACAA